rnacentral:rRNA from 1 species
UACACACCGCCCGUCACACCAUGGGAGUUUGUUGCACCAGAAGCAGGUAGCUUAACCUUCGGGAGGGCGCUUACCACGGUGUGGCCGAUGACUGGGGUG